rnacentral:rRNA from 1 species
GGUGAACGCUGGCGGCGUGCUUAACACAUGCAAGUCGAACGGAAAGGCCCAAGCUUGCUUGGGUACUCGAGUGGCGAACGGGUGAGUAACACGUGGGUGAUCUGCCCUGCACUUCGGGAUAGGCCUGGGAAACUGGGUCUAAUACCGGAUAGGACCACAUUUUGGAUGGUGUGGUGGAAAGUUUUUCGGUGUGGGAUGAGCUCGCGGCCUAUCAGCUUGUUGGUGGGGUAAUGGCCUACCAAGGCGUCGACGGGUAGCCGGCCUGAGAGGGUGUACGGCCACAUUGGGACUGAGAUACGGCCCAGACUCCUACGGGAGGCAGCAGUGGGGAAUAUUGCACAAUGGGCGCAAGCCUGAUGCAGCGACGCCGCGUGGGGGAUGACGGCCUUCGGGUUGUAAACUCCUUUCGCUAGGGACGAAGCGCAAGUGACGGUACCUGGAGAAGAAGCACCGGCUAACUACGUG